rnacentral:rRNA from 1 species
AGUGAACCAGUACCGUGAGGGAAAGGUGAAAAGAACCCUGAAUAAGGGAGUGAAAAAGAUCCUGAAACCAUACGCUUACAAGCGGUCGGAGCCCGUAAGGGGUGACGGCGUGCCUUUUGCAUAAUGAGCCUACGAGUUACUUUUACUAGCAAGGUUAAGCACUUCAGGUGCGGAUCCGUAGCGAAAGCGAGUCUGAAUAGGGCGACCAUAGUUAGUAGUAGUAGACGCGAAACCGUGUGAUCUACCCAUGGGCAGGUUGAAGCUUUGUUAACCCAAAGUGGAGGACCGAACCCGUUGACGUUGAAAAGUCUUGGGAUGACCUGUGGGUAGGGGUGAAAGGCCAAUCAAACUCGGAAAUAGCUCGUACUCCCCGAAAUGCAUUUAGGUGCAGCGUUGAUUUAUAGUUUUAUAGAGGUAGAGCUACUGAUUGGAUGCGGGGGCUUCACCGCCUACCAAUUCCUGACAAACUCCGAAUGCUAUAAAAUGUUGUUGAGCAGUGAGGGCAUGGGUGCUAAGGUCCAUGUCCGAGAGGGAAAGAACCCAGAUCAUCAGCUAAGGUCCCCAAGUGUAUGCUAAGUUGACAAAACGCGGUAAAACUGCAUUGACAGCCAGGAUGUUGGCUUGGAAGCAGCCAUUCAUUUAAAGAGUGCGUAACAGCUCACUGGUCGAGCGGUUUUGCAUGGAUAAUAAUCGGGCAUAAGUAUACCACCGAAGCUAUGACUUUGUCUUAUGACAAGGGGUAGGGGAGCAUUCUAUGGGCAUUGAAGGUGCUGGCGUGAGCCGUGCUGGAGCGCAUAGAAACGAAAAUGUAGGCAUAAGUAACGAUAAUGCGGGCGAGAAACCCGCACGCCGAAAGACCAAGGUUUCCCCAGCUAUGCUAAUCAGCUGGGGGUCAGUCGGGACCUAACGCGAACCCGAACGGGGUAGUGGAUGGACAAUCAGUUAAUAUUCUGAUACCUGCUCACAUUAAAAGUGACGGGGAUGAGGCGUUGGUGCGAAGAGACGGAAUUCUUCGUUGAAGGUAGCGGAAGCUACUGAUAGUACACUGAGGCUUCGGCCAAGGUGAUAAUCCAGCUUAUCAUCCUCCAAGAAAAACAAGUGAAGCAGCCCGUACCGUAAACCGACACAGGUGGUUGGGAUGAGUAUUCUAAGGCGCUCGAGAGAUUCAUGGCUAAGGAACUAGGCAAAAUAGACCCGUAACUUCGGGAGAAGGGUCGCCCCCUUAUGGGGGGCCGCAGUGAAGAGGUCCAGGCGACUGUUUAUCAAAAACACAGGGCUCUGCUAAAUCGAAAGAUGACGUAUAGGGCCUGACACCUGCCCGGUGCUGGAAGGUUAAGAGGAGAUGUUAUUUUUCGGAAGAAGCAUUGAAUUGAAGCCCCAGUAAACGGCGGCCGUAACUAUAACGGUCCUAAGGUAGCGAAAUUCCUUGUCGGGUAAGUUCCGACCUGCACGAAUGGUGCAACGAUCUGGACACUGUCUCGGCCAUGAGCUCGGUGAAAUUGUAGUAACGGUGAAGAUGCCGUUUACCCGCAGUGGGACGAAAAGACCCCGUGCACCUUUACUAUAGCUUCGUAUUGACCCUGGAUAAGUAAUGUGUAGGAUAGCUAGGAGACUUUGAAGCGGCGUCGCCAGGCGUUGUGGAGUCAUUGUUGAAAUACUAGCCUUUGCUUAUUUGGGGCCUAACUCUCUUAAGAGAGAACAGUGCGUGGUGGGUAGUUUGACUGGGGUGGUCGCCUCCAAAAGAGUAACGGAG